UAAACUUCGACCCAAAUGCUGGCUUGUACUUACUCAUCAAAUCAAAGACAACGAUAUGUUUUAUAACAACCUAGUUACUGGUUGCGUUUACAUAUGUCAAUGUGCAAGCAACUCGCAACUACAACUCACACGUCUCCGUUUGAAGAAUAUAAGAUAUUAUCGUCUCAUGAUCACUCGUGAUAAAAUCCAUGAAGUGAUUCAAAUGAGCGUUGGUUGAAUCCAAUACUCGAAUCUCAUUCCAAGAUCACUCAUGAACACUACAACCACUUUGUCCCAGACAAACUACAGACUCAUUCAUGACAGUCUUGCCUCAAUACCUACUUCCAAAUUAUAAUCGAAUGUGGAUGGUUUGAGUAACUUAGUUAUUCAGGAAGUCAAAACAUGCAAUGUGAAACACAAGAAUAAUCGAAUCCAAUAUGGUCUCAAAACUUAUGAAUAUAAAUAAAACACCUUUUAUUUAAUCACCAUGUUGAUUACACAUUAUUCAUUGCAUAAUGUUUCAAAUAAUGAGCUUAAUACUUGAAUUAAAACAAUAGUUGUCCCAUGCACACUAUGUUUUCUAAAUAAUAGUUAUACCAUACUCUAAGUAUGCACACUAUGUUUGUCUAUGUUUGUCACAGAUAUCGCUUUUAUCACUCCAAAGGUAAAAGAAAUGGAUAAACUUCGACCCAAAUGCUCGCUUGUACUUACUCAUCAAAUCAAACACAACGAUAUGUUUUAUAACAACCAAGUUACUGGUUGCGUUUACAUAUGUCAAUGUGCAAGCAACUCGCAACUACAACUCACACAUCUCUGUUUGAAGAAUAUAAGAUAUUAUCGUCUCAUGAUCACUCGUGAUAAAAUCCAUGAAGUGAUUCAAAUGAGCAUUGGUUGAAUCCAAUACUCGAAUCUCAUUCCAAGAUCACUCGUGAACACUACAACCACUUUGUCCCAGACAAACUACAUACUCAUUCAUGACAGUCUUGCCUCAAUACCUACUUCCAAAUUAUAAUCGACUGUGGAUGGUUUGAAUAACUUAGUUAUUCAGGAAGUCAAAACUUGCAAUGUG
rnacentral:lncRNA from 1 species